rnacentral:pre_miRNA from 1 species
UUAACUCAAAUUUGUAUGGAGUCGGAACGUUUGUCUACGUUUGCCGCUAGGGGCGCUGUUCCAACUGCAUACAAGUUUGAGUUC